rnacentral:rRNA from 1 species
UACGUAGGGUGCGAGCGUUGUCCGGAAUUAUUGGGCGUAAAGGGCUCGUAGGCGGCUUGUCACGUCGGUUGUGAAAGCCCGGGGCUUAACCCCGGGUCUGCAGUCGAUACGGGCAGGCUAGAGUGUGGUAGGGGAGAUCGGAAUUCCUGGUGUAGCGGUGAAAUGCGCAGAUAUCAGGAGGAACACCGGUGGCGAAGGCGGGUCUCUGGGCCGAUACUGACGCUGAGGAGCGAAAGCGUGGGGAGCGAACAGG